ensembl:lncRNA
AAAUCCGGGAUUUUUCACCCCAAAAUCCCGUCCCUGGGACCGAAUCCCCAAACCUGGCGCUUUUCACUCCACAUUUGGGGUUUUCCACCCCAUUUUGUGAUCCUGUUCCCCUCACGAAUUUCCCACCUUUUCCCUCCCAAUUGUUCACCUAUUCCCUCACAGUUUUCCUUCCUUUUCCUCCAUUUUGUGACCCCGUCCCCUCACGAUUUUCCCUCCGAUUCCCCUCACAAUAUUCCCAUCUUUUCCCUCACAAUUUUUCUGCAUUUUCCCUCAGAAUUUUCCUGCCUUUUCCUCCAUUUUGGGAUCCUGUUCCCCUCACAAUUUUCUCACCUUUUCCCUCACAAUUUUCCUGCCUUUUCCCUACCAAUUUUCUCCACCUUUUCCCUCACAAUUUUCCCGCAUUUCCCCUCAAAAUUUUUCCACCUAUUCCCUCACAAUUUUCCCGCCUUUUUCCCCACAACUUUCCCACUUCUUCCCUACCAAUUUUCUCCACCUUUUCUCCUCACAAUUUUCCCGCAUUUCCCCUCACAAUUUUCCCGCCUUUUCCUCCAUUUUGUGACCCCAUGCCCUCACAGUUUUCCCGCCUUUUUCUCCAUUUUGUGAUCCUGUUCCCCUCACGAUUUUUGCACCUUUUCCCCUCACGAUUUUCCCACAUUUUCCCUCACGAUUUUCCCACAUUUUCCCUCACAAUUUUCCCGCCUUUUCCCUCACGAUUUUCCCACAUUUUCCCUCACAAUUUUCUCACCUUUUCCCUCACAAUUUUCCUGCCUUUUUCCUACCAAUUUUCUCCACCUUUUCUCCUCACAAUUUUCCCACAUUUUGCCUCACAAUUUUCUUACCUUUUCCUCCAUUUUGUGAUCCUGUUCCCCUCACGAUUUUUUCCCCUUUUCCCCUCACGAUUUUCCCACAUUUUUCCUCACAAUUUUCCCACCUUUUCCCUCACAAUUUUCCCACCUUUUCUUCCCACAAUUUUCCCACCUUUUCUUCCCACAAUUUUCCCGCCUUUCCCCUCACAAUUUUCCUGCAUUUUCCCUCAAAAUUUUCCCGCCUUUUCCUUCACAAUUUCCCCGCCUUUUCCCUCACGAUUUUCCCGCCUUUUCCUCCAUUUUGUGACCCUUUCCCCCCACGAUUUCCCCACAGGAGGAAGGGCUCAAAUUGACCUUCCAGAAACAUCGGCUGGGGCCCAACGGGGCCCAACGGGCGCCCAACCCUCCCAAGAAAAACAGCAAGAAACUGGUGGAGUUCGUGGAGCAGCGGCGGGAAAAGUGGCACCGGAAAAAGUUCAUCCCCUCCCCCCCCUCAGGUUUGGACCUUUCCAAGAUGGUGGCGUUGAUGGGGGGUGGAGCCAGCGGCACAGGGGGCGUGGCCUCUCCCUCCCUAGCCCCGCCCCCGCGCUUCCGGCCGGAAGCAGAAGAGGAAGCGGAAGCAGGAAGUGGGUGCUGCCCCCUGCUGGCCGACCCCAUGCUGCCGCCCACUUCCGACUCGGAUUAAGCCCCGCCCCUUCUCCUGCCGGGGCCACGCCCCCCUCCCCAUAUUUAUAUAAAUAUGUAAAAUGUCUCUGUGUCAUAGGGGGGCGGGGCGGGGGGCGGGGCUGAGCGGGGCGGGGCCGAGUGGGGCGGGGUCAGUGUGGGCAGGGCUGGCGGGAUGGGAGGGGCCUGGUGGGUUUUUUUUUAAUAAAAGGUUUGGAAAUGGAGCA